GAUGAACGCUGGCGGCGUGCCUAAUACAUGCAAGUCGAGCGAACGGACGAGAAGCUUGCUUUUCUGAUGUUAGCGGCGGACGGGUGAGUAACACGUGGAUAACCUACCUAUAAGACUGGGAUAACUUCGGGAAACCGGAGCUAAUACCGGAUAAUAUUUUGAACCGCAUGGUUCAAAAGUGAAAGACGGUCUUGCUGUCACUUAUAGAUGGAUCCGCGCUGCAUUAGCUAGUUGGUAAGGUAACGGCUUACCAAGGCAACGAUGCAUAGCCGACCUGAGAGGGUGAUCGGCCACACUGGAACUGAGACACGGUCCAGACUCCUACGGGAGGCAGCAGUAGGGAAUCUUCCGCAAUGGGCGAAAGCCUGACAGAGCAACGCCGCGUGAGUGAUGAAGGUCUUCGGAUCGUAAAACUCUGUUAUUAGGGAAGAACAUAUGUGUAAGUAACUGUGCACAUCUUGACGGUACCUAAUCAGAAAGCCACGGCUAACUACGUG
rnacentral:rRNA from 1 species